rnacentral:rRNA from 1 species
AUGCGGGCGGAACCAACAUGGGUUGGUGGAGCGACGGAUGCGGGUAGGGGCACCCCAAGUGUGGGAAGAAUAAAAUGUAAUUCAAUUGUUGGGUAUAUUGUUCAGAUGAGUUCGUCCUGUGCUAGAAGCAAAUCGCCAUGCCCAGACGGCAGUGCCAGGUGUGCCUUAUUUCAAGCUGCUAAGAAGAAAACCGCUGCACUAGAAGAACCUAUGCAGAAGCUUGAUGCAGAAGCCGAGGUGAGCUCUGGUGGUAAAGCUGAAGCUUCUUCACCUCCUGUUGAAGAGAAGGAUGGUAAAGAUGGCCAGGCUCAAUUUCUCCUUGAUGACAUCGCAAGAAAAGAAUGGUGGUCUUAUGCGAGUCGCUUCGCCAUCCAACAACACUCCAUUGCAUUACUUUUUGUCCAGCUUCAAGCCGAGCCAGUGAAUCUAAAAUGCUUUUCUGGAUCUGGCAAGGCGUCGUGUAUUGUUCGUCCUCAUGCUGCUUAUAUUUCAUGCUUGCAUCAGGCAGAAGAAAUCCAAAGCAAAUUUUGCUCAGCUGUAGCGUCUUCCACUAACAAUAAGUCUGCACAGCAGCCUGAUAGGUUAGUUCUUGCAACUAAAAAACACAAGUCUUUCAGUUGCUCACCACUUGCUAGUAAAAAAGCAUAG